rnacentral:rRNA from 1 species
AUUGAACGCUGGCGGCAUGCCUUACACAUGCAAGUCGAACGGUAACGGGCCUUCGGGUGCCGACGAGUGGCGAACGGGUGAGUAAUGUAUCGGAACGUACCUUUCAGUGGGGGAUAACGUAGCGAAAGUUACGCUAAUACCGCAUAUUCUGUGAGCAGGAAAGCAGGGGAUCGCAAGACCUUGCGCUGAUUGAGCGGCCGAUAUCAGAUUAGCUAGUUGGUGAGGUAAAGGCUCACCAAGGCGACGAUCUGUAGCGGGUCUGAGAGGAUGAUCCGCCACACUGGAACUGGGACACGGUCCAGACUCCUACGGGAGGCAGCAGUGGGGAAUUUUGGACAAUGGGGGCAACCCUGAUCCAGCCAUGCCGCGUGAGUGAAGAACGCCUUCGGGUUGUAAAGCUCUUUCGGCCGGGAAGAAAUCGUAUCAGCUAAUACCUGGUGCGGAUGACGGUACCGGCAUAAGAAGCACCGGCUAACUACGUGCCAGCCGCCGCAGUAAGAC